AGACCCGAAACCCGGUGAUCUAGCCAUGGGCAGGUUGAAGGUUGGGUAACACUAACUGGAGGACCGAACCGACUAAUGUUGAAAAAUUAGCGGAUGACCUGUGGCUGGGGGUGAAAGGCCAAUCAAACCGGGAGAUAGCUGGUUCUCCCCGAAAGCUAUUUAGGUAGCGCCUCGUGAAUUCAUCUCCGGGGGUAGAGCACUGUUUCGGCUAGGGGGCCAUCCCGGCUUACCAACCCGAUGCAAACUGCGAAUACCGGAGAAUGUUAUCACGGGAGACACACGGCGGGUGCUAACGUCCGUCGUGAAGAGGGAAACAACCCAGACCGCCAGCUAAGGUCCCAAAGUCAUGGUUAAGUGGGAAACGAUGUGGGAAGGCCCAGACAGCCAGGAUGUUGGCUUAGAAGCAGCCAUCAUUUAAAGAAAGCGUAAUAGCUCACUGGUCGAGUCGGCCUGCGCGGAAGAUGUAACGGGGCUAAACCAUGCACCGAAGCUGCGGCAGCGAACGUAUCACCCAAGACAACUUUACGGAGUUGACGAUUGACGGAGCGAAGCGACGUCAAAGCGUAUACAAAGUCGAGUUGGCUUAGGGAUACGUUCGUUGGGUAGGGGAGCGUU
rnacentral:rRNA from 1 species